rnacentral:rRNA from 1 species
GUGGGGAAUAUUGGACAAUGGGCGAAAGCCUGAUCCAGCCAUGCCGCGUGUGUGAAGAAGGUCUUCGGAUUGUAAAGCACUUUAAGUUGGGAGGAAGGGCAGUAAGUUAAUACCUUGCUGUUUUGACGUUACCGACAGAAUAAGCACCGGCUAACUUCGUGCCAGCAGCCACGGUAAUACGAAGGGUGCAAGCGUUAAUCGGAAUUACUGGGCGUAAAGCGCGCGUAGGUGGUUUUGUAAGUUGGAGGUGAAAUCCCCGGGCUCAACCUGGGAACUGCCUCCAAAACUGCAUGACUAGAGUACGGUAGAGGGUAGUGGAAUUUCCUGUGUAGCGGUGAAAUGCGUAGAUAUAGGAAGGAACACCAGUGGCGAAGGCGACUACCUGGACUGAUACUGACACUGAGGUGCGAAAGCGUGGGGAGCAAACAGGAUUAGAAACCCGAGUAGUCC